rnacentral:rRNA from 1 species
UACGUAGGGACCGAGCGUUGUCCGGAUUCAUUGGGCGUAAAGAGCUCGUAGGCGGCUGUUCAAGUCGAACGUGAAAACUCGGAGCUCAACUCCGAGCCUGCGUUCGAUACUGGACGGCUAGAGUCUGGUAGGGGGAUCUGGAAUUCCUGGUGUAGCGGUGGAAUGCGCAGAUAUCAGGAGGAACACCGGUGGCGAAGGCGGUUCUCUGGGCCUUACCUGACGCUGAGGAGCGAAAGCGUUGGGGAGCGAACAGG